AUUGAACGCUGGCGGCAGGCUUAACACAUGCAAGUCGAACGAGUGGCGGACGGGUGAGUAAUGUCUGGGAAUCUACCUUAUGGAGGGGGAUAACUACGGGAAACUGUAGCUAAUACCGCGUACCAUAGGAUGUGCCCAAGUGGGAUUAGUUAGUGGGUGAGGUCAAGGCUCACCAAGUCGACGAUCCCUAGCUGGUCUGCGAGGAUGACCAGCCACCUUGGGACUGCGACACGGGCCGGAAUCCUACGGGAGGCAGCAGGGGGGAAUAUGGCGCAAUGGGCGCAAGCCUGACGCAGCCAUGCCGCGUGAAUGAAGAAGGCCUUCGGGUUGUAAAGUUCUUUCAGUGGGGAGGCGUUACCUGCAGAAGAAGCACCGGCUAACUCCGUGCCAGCAGCCGCGGUAAUUC
rnacentral:rRNA from 1 species